AGUGAACGCUGGCGGUAGGCCUAACACAUGCGAGUCGAACGGCAGCACAGUAAGAGCUUGCUCUUACGGGUGGCGAGUGGCGGACGGGUGAGGAAUACAUCGGAAUCUACUUUUUCGUGGGGGAUAACGUAGGGAAACUUACGCUAAUACCGCAUACGCCCUACGGGUGAAAGCAGGGGAUCUUCGGACCUUGCGCGAUUGAAUGAGCCGAUGUCGGAUUAGCUAGUUGGCGGGGUAAAGGCCCACCAAGGCGACGAUCCGUAGCUGGUCUGAGAGGAUGAUCAGCCACACUGGAACUGAGACACGGUCCAGACUCCUACGGGAGGCAGCAGUGGGGAAUAUUGGACAAUGGGCGCAAGCCUGAUCCAGCCAUACCGCGUGGGUGAAGAAGGCCUUCGGGUUGUAAAGCCCUUUUGUUGGGAAAGAAAAGCAGCAGGUUAAUACCCCGCUGUUCUGACGGUACCCAAAGAAUAAGCACCGGCUAACUUCGUG
rnacentral:rRNA from 1 species